CCUUUGCAUACGCCAAAAUAAAUGGAUUGGUGAUUACGCUGCAUGGAAAAUUGAAGUUAAGAGUUACAUUAUAAUUGAGCAGUUUUGAUCUCUUUUCUUCAAUGGACGGGGUAUCAGCCUCAGUGCCUCCCAUUUGUGAUGUAGUUUAGACCAACCCUUCGUAAACCUCAUAUUUGGGGACUAAAAACUUUGAAUAGCUAGGAGCUAUAUGUUUUUGGAGAACCAUAAUUAAGGUUCUCAUGCCGUAUUAGAUGGAAAGUUUUUAUCUUGGCAAGAGAUCAAUUCUAUGAGAUCAAUAAGUUGUAUGUGAACUUUGCGAGGAGAGCUGCAUGAUUACUCUUCAAAUGCUGCUCUCUAAAACAAGAAGAUACGUAAAUCCCCACCAAUAUGCCUCUGUACUUCAAUUUUGUAUUACUGAAAAAGCUAUAGAACCCGGAAAGCAACUCCAUGCGCAACUCUGUGUCAAUGGCAUGCUAUUUCACAACACCCAUUUGGCCACUAAACUCGUUAAUGUCUACUGUGUUUGCAACUCCUUAUCAAAUGCUCACCAUUUGUUCGAAAAAAUGCCGAAAUCAAAUUUGUUUCUUUGGAAUGUUUUGAUUCGAGGGUAUGCAUGGAAUGGACCAUAUGAAGUUGCGAUCUCUUUGUAUUACCAGCUGAUUGAUCACGGGCUUGUUCCGGAUAAUUUCACCUUUCCUUUUGUGCUGAAAGCGUGUUCGGGCCUAUCCGAUGUUGAAGUGGGAAGGAAUAUUCAUAAGCAUGUGAAGAAAACUGGGUGGGAAAUGGAUUCUUUUGUGGGUGCUGGACUUAUUGAUAUGUAUGCAAAAUGUUGUUGUAUAAAUGAAUCUCGACAAGUGUUUGACAAGAUUGCCAAUAGGGACGUUGUGUUGUGGAAUUCAAUGCUUGCUGCUUACUCCCAAAAUGGGCAUCCAGAUGAGUGUUUGAGACUCUGUGGUGAGAUGGCGUUAGCAGGGUUUAGGCCUACCGAAGCAACACUAGUGACGGCUACAUCGGCUUGUGCUGAUGCAGUGGCAACUGUACAAGGGAGAGAACUACACUGUUAUAGUUACAGACAUGGGUUUGAAUCCAAUGACAGGGUGAAGACUGCCCUUGUGGAUAUGUAUGCAAAGAGUGGGAAUGUAGGGAUCGCGAGGAUAUUAUUCGAGGGACUAAAAGAGAAGAGGCUUGUUUCUUGGAAUGCAAUGAUAACUGGAUAUGCAAUGCAUGGUCAUGCAUAUGAAGCCUUCUCUUUGUUUAAUUGGAUGCGGGCUGAAGCUCAGCCUGAUCAUAUUACCUUCGUUGGGGUUCUAUCGGCUUGUAACCGAGGAGGACUGUUAAAUGAAGGGAAGAUGUAUUUUGACAUGAUGAUAAGAGAUUAUGGUAUAGAACCUACCAUUCAGCAUUAUACCUGCAUGGUUGAUCUCCUUAGCCAUUGUAAUCGUUUGAACGAUGCUUAUGGAUUGAUAAUGGAGAUGAAGGUGACACCAGAUUCUGGUGUUUGGGGUGCUUUUCUUAAUUCAUGNAAGAUCCAUGGAAAUGUGGAGUUGGGGGAACUGGCAUUAGAGAGACUGAUUGAGCUUGAACCGGAUGAGGCUGGCCAUUACGUGCUUUUAUCAAAUCUCUAUGCUCAAACGGGAAAGUGGGAAGGAGUUACGAAGCUAAGAAAGCUAUUGUCAGAGAGGAAACUUAAGAAAAGCAUUGCUUGUAGCUGGAUUGAGGUUAAAAAUAAGAUGCAUGCAUUUGUAUCUGGAGAUGUAACUCAUCCUAUGUCUGAUGAGAUAUAUGCAGAAUUGGAAGAAUUGGGAGGACUAAUGGCAAAAGCUGGAUACGUUCCAAAUAUUUCACCAGUUUUCUUUGACGUGGAGGAUGAUGAGAAGACCAAAAUGGUGUACAGCCACAGUGAAAGGCUAGCUAUUGCAUUUGGACUCAUUAAUACACCUGCUGGAGCUAAGCUUCUGAUAACGAAAAACCUUCGUGUUUGUGAGGACUGCCAUGUUGCCAUCAAGUUUAUUUCCAAAAUUACACAAAGGGAAAUCACUAUAAGGGAUGUCAAUCGCUAUCAUCAUUUUAAAGACGGUAUAUGCUCUUGUGGCGAUUUUUGGUGACUUCUGUCAACCAUCUGGUGUUUCUUUAUCCAUAAAAGAAACAUUAGAACCUCAAGGAAAAACAUGAAUAUUUGGGAAUUACCAUAAAGGUAUUGAUUGAGGGUAGUCAUAUUCAAUGUAGGGAAGCAGUGGCUGCAACUAAAGUUGAAAAAUCAAGCUAAGCCAACAAGAAAUAACUCCGAAGACAGAUUUCUGCAGAAUAAUCACUCCAAAGUUGAGUGAUUGCCUGCUCAAUUACAUCCCAUAAACAGAGAAUAUCAACAGGUCUGCUCAAUUACAUCCCAUAAACAGAGAAUAUCAACAGUACCUCAAACACUGCCCCCUACGAUCCCAAUUGAAUUAUCGACUCUUCCCAACUUAUGAAUGAACAAGGUAUAGUCAUACGAUUGUUUUAUUUAUUUACUUGUAUCUCAGAUUACUAAUUUUCUGAAAUAGUCUUGUAAUGUAGAAAUUAUGUUUCAUUGUAAACUUGGUACAAG
rnacentral:lncRNA from 1 species